GGGCCCGCACAAGCGGCGGAGCAUGUGGCUUAAUUCGACGCAACGCGAAGAACCUUACCAAAGUUUGACAUCAUACUAAAGAAUAUAGAAAUAUAUUCGCCUGCAAGGGUAGUAUGACAGGUGGUGCAUGGUUGUCGUCAGCUCGUGUCGUGAGAUGUUGGGUUAAGUCCCGCAACGAGCGCAACCCUCUUCCCAUGUUGCCAGCAGUUUAGCUGGGCACUCUUGGGAUACUGCCAGUGUAAAACUGGAGGAAGGUGGGGAUGACGUCAAAUCAUCAUGCCCUUUAUGCUUUGGGCUGCACACGUGCUACAAUGGCCUGUACAAAGAGCUGCGAUACUGUGAGGUGGAGCGAAUCUCAAAAAACAGGUCUAAGUCCAGAUUGAAGGCUGAAACUCGCCUUCAUGAAGUCGGAGUCGCUAGUAAUCGUGGAUCAGCACGCCACGGUGAAUACGUUCCCGGGCCUU
rnacentral:rRNA from 1 species